GACGAACGCUGGCGGCGUGCCUAAUACAUGCAAGUAGAACGCUGAAGGAGGAUCUUGCUCUUCUGGAUGAGUUGCGAACGGGUGAGUAACGCGUAGGUAACCUGCCUGGUAGCGGGGGAUAACUAUUGGAAACGAUAGCUAAUACCGCAUAAGAGUAGAUGUUGCAUGACAUUUACUUAAAAGGUGCAAUUGCAUCACUACCAGAUGGACCUGCGUUGUAUUAGCUAGUUGGUGGGGUAACGGCUUACCAAGGCGACGAUACAUAGCCGACCUGAGAGGGUGAUCGGCCACACUGGGACUGAGACACGGCCCAGACUCCUACGGGAGGCAGCAGUAGGGAAUCUUCGGCAAUGGACGGAAGUCUGACCGAGCAACGCCGCGUGAGUGAAGAAGGUUUUCGGAUCGUAAAGCUCUGUUGUAAGAGAAGAACGAGUGUGAGAGUGGAAAGUUCACACUGUGACGGUAUCUUACCAGAAAGGGACGGCUAACUACGUG
rnacentral:rRNA from 1 species